rnacentral:misc_RNA from 1 species
GAAGAACGCAGCGAAAUGCGAUACGUAAUGUGAAUUGCAAAUUCAGUGAAUCAUCGAGUCUUUGAACGCACAUUGCGCCCCCUGGUAUUCCGGGGGGCAUGCCUGUCCGAGCGUCAUUGCUGCCCUCAAGCACGGCUUGUGUGUUGGGCCCCGUCCUCCGAUCCCGGGGGACGGGCCCGAAAGGCAGCGGCGGCACCGCGUCCGGUCCUCGAGCGUAUGGGGCUUUGUCACCCGCUCUGUAGGCCCGGCCGGCGCUUGCCGAUCAACCCAAAUUUUUAUCCAGGUUGACCUCGGAUCAGGUAGGGAUACCCGCUGAACUUAAGCAUAUCAAUAAGCGGAGGA